ensembl:lncRNA
AUGGGCGCUAAGGGGAGGCAGGUUGGGGCUCAGGGCCUGGACCCCAGCACACCUCUUCCUUCCUGCAUGCCCCUGGGAUGGUGGCGGCACCUCUCCACGCCUCAGUUUCACCAUCUGGAGCCUGACUUCACCAUAGCACAAGGGGACCUGCUUCCGGAUGCCAGAGUCCAGAUGGCCGGUGGCUUGGGCCUCGCUGGCAGGUGUUGGACAAGGGCCCAGGUCCUGGCGACCCCCUCUCCGGCGGCUGCCUCCAGAAGCGGGAAUGAGGAAAGAGCUCUCGGCCUGGGCAAGGUGAGGCUUUUGCUCACUGAGGACCACGCCUGCUCACACCUGCUCGGGUUCCGUGGUCUGGCUUGCAUUCUGUCUCUGCUUAUUCCUGGCUGUGCCACCUUGUGCGCAUCACUUAACUUAGCUGAGCCUCCACUGCCCCAUCUGUGAAAUGGGCAUGACGAUGGAUCAAAGUUGCCAGAUACAAUACAGUGAAUGAAUUUCAGACAAUCAGCCAAUACAUUUUAGUAUAAGUAUAUCCCAGAUUCUGCAUGAGACAUACUCAUGUUCUAAAAGACCCCCACACAUGAAACAAACAAGAAAACAACGAGUUUAUCAAACACGCCUCCCCUAUGAUGACGUCUCCCUGAUAGGAGGUUGCAAGGGUCUUGAGCGGGUCACAGGCCAGGCACAGAGAAAGGGCCUGAUGCACCAUAGAACUAACGUUCACUGUCCCAGGGACUCAAGGGCAGGAGCCCAAGCAAGGUCUGGUGAUUAGCUCAUAAAUGCAUCAUGUGUCUCUGGGGAACAGGGCCCUGGUGAUAAGAAUGGCACCAUUAUUUCUCUAGGCUGCCAGCAAGAGGCUCCAGGCCACAGGAAGGAGGGGACUUCUUCAUUCAUAGCAUGUCCCCAGCACCUAGAUGCUCUGAAGGGCUCAGCAGAGUUAUUGAGUGAAAAUAAGAAGACAUUCAAUAAAUGGUUGUUGAAUUCAAGGUCUGAUUGCACUACUCUUUAUUGGACACUUACUGUAUGCCAGGCACUCCGACCAAUGCUUGUUUCCCAGGGCCCCCCAUCAGCAAGGGAGAUGGAUAGUAAUACAGUCAGCUGCACAAAUGCAAAAUUAUAACUUGGACAAGACCUGCCAAAGGGAGAUACGCAGUGCUAGGACCCCCUGUGUCAGGUCCAGAGGGUCCUGAGUAGGGCUCAGAUGGGCUUUCUGGGGGGUGCCACUUGGUGGGGACCUGGAGGAGGAGAUUCGUAGGUACAAAUGUGGCACAGAGAUUCCUAGAUCAUGGGCACAGAAUGUGCAAAGGUCCUGGGGUGAGAGCGAGCAUAAUUUCAGGGGCUGGCUUCGGGGCACCCCCAGCUCCCUUGGACAAUCUGCAGGCUCCAGCAGAGAGUCAAGGCUCAGUUUAGGAUGGCUGGGGUCGCUUGGCAAGUCAAGCAGGAUGUGAUGCCCUCAACCACCCACAGGGGUAAGGACAAAAGUCCGGGCACAUCUCCAGCCAGGGGGUUGGGGAGGAGCAAAUGAGAUGAGCGGCUCCCAGCACCGCCUCUGCCCUGGAAUCUCCUGAGCCACUUGCCUGCCCAACGCCUCUGCCCUGGAAUCUCCUGAGCCCACUUGCCUGGCUCCUCUCUCACGUUGCCGUAGCCGCCCCCCAGGACACAGAGCAGGAGGAGCAAGACGAGCCCACCAGCCCCUGGGUGGAGUCAGGAGGCGAGGGAGGAGCCCUGGGGUGCUGGGGACUCUCAGGCCUGAGGCCCACAGCUGGGAUGGCAACAACAGCAACCACAGUAACAGUAGCUGCUAAGGCCUAAACGUGCCCAGUUGAGUCCUGCUGGGAGAGACCUCAUUUAGUAGCUACAAAAGCCCCAGCAGGCUGAUCCCAGAAGUAUCCCGUUUUACAGACAGGGAGACAGACUCAGGAGGAUGAAGCCACUGGUGACCCCAGGAUGUGGCAAAUCUUAAUUCGCGCUCCUGUGACACUAACUACCAUGGAAUGGGGGCUUACACGGCGAACAUGUCCUUCUCACAGACCCUGGAGGCUGGGAAGUCCAAGAUCAAGGUGGCGGCAGAUCUGGUGUUUGGUGAGGGCCGAUUCUCGGUCUGUGGACACAUGCCUUCUCUCUUUGUCCUCACGUGGCAGGAAGCAGCAAGAGGAGGCAAGCUCUCUUGUGUCUCUUCUUAUAUUUAAAAAAAAUUUUAAUGUUUUAUUUAUUUUUGAGAGAGAGAGAGAGAGAGAGAGAGAGUGAGCAUGAGCAGGGGAGGGGCAGAGAGAGAAGGAGACACAGGAUCUGAAGCAGGCUCCAGGCUCUGAGCUGUCAGCACAGAGCCUGACGCGGGGCUCGAACCCACAUACCGUGAGAUCAUGACCUGAGCCGAAGCUGGAUGCUUUACCGACUGAGACCUCCAGGCGCCCCAUUUGUGUCUCUUCUUGUAAGUGCACUAACCCCAUUGUGGGGGCUCCACACUUGUGACCUAAUCACCUCCCAAAGGCAUCCCCCCCUUCUAACACCAUCGCAUGGGGGAUCAGGGUUCCAACAUAUGAAUUCUGGAAGGGACACAAGCGUUCAGUCUAGAGCAACACCCAUCUUUUCUUGUUAGCCUCACUUCUGAGGGGCUGGAAUCAGGGCCCCUGGCCCCUGUGGGCCCCUUUGUCUGUAGCCUCAUUAGUACCAGCUAUAAAAUGGGACCAAUUGCCCAUAUCCAUAGGAAGACCUUGACCACAGGCUCCUGAGCCCACUCUGGGCUCAGCCCAGGGGCUCUAUGGCAGAAGGUGUCUCCAUCUCCCGGCUGAAUCUGUAACUCACUGUGUCCAGUUGGUAAAGGCAAAUGUGUACAUCCAGUAUUUGUUACUUACUGUAUACCUGGGGGAGGGAAUUGGCUGCAAAAGGGGCCUGAUGGAGCUUUCUGGGUGAUGGAGAUAUUAAAUCCAGAUUGAUAGUUUCAGGAUGUAUGCAUUUGCCAAAACUCAUCCAACUAUACUCUACUGGGUUUUAUUAUUUAUUUAUUUUUUAUUAAAAUUUUUUAAUGCUCAUUUAUUUUUGAGAGACAGAGCAUGAUCGGGGGAGGAAGAGACAGAGAGGGACACACAGAAUCUGAAGCAGGCUCCAGAUUCUGAGCUGUCAGCACAAAGCCUGACGUGGGGCUCGAACCCAUGAACCGUGAGAUCAUGACCUGAGCCAAAGUUGGACGCUUAACCGACUGAGCCACUCAGGUGCCCCUAUUGGGUUUUACUUUUUAAUGUUUAUUUAUUUAUUUUGAAAGAGAAAGAGAGAGAGAGAGAGAGAGCUCAAGCAGAGGAGGGGCAGAGAGACAGGGAAUCCCAAGCAGGCUUUUUGCUGUCAGCCCGGAGCCCAAUGCGAGGCUCGAUCCCACAAACCACGAGAUCACGACUUGAGCUGAAAUCAAGAGCCGGAUGCUUAACCCACAGAGCCACCCAGGCUCAGUAUGUGAGUUAUGUACUGUAUUCGAUUGUGUGUGAGUUAUGACCUAACAGAGCUGAACUUUAAAAUAGUUAUAUGAGGGGUGCCUGGGUGGCUCAGUCA